rnacentral:lncRNA from 1 species
UUUUUUUAAUGGCAAAUGAUUGAACUGAAAAAAGAAAGUCAGAUGACAAGGCCCUCAAUCAUUGCAUUUAUUGCAAGAGAAAUAAUUUUACACAUUUCCUACAUAAAUUUCUGAAUCUUAACCGAUGAAUUGAUUUCAUUAAUGCACUACUUCCCUCGAGCUAUAUAAGUUCUCAUCUCUAGAUCAACUGCUUCAUCAAACGAUCAACAAUCUCAAACAAUUUUCUAACCCUCCUAUCCCCAAAAGACCAUAAUGGCAAUGCCGAAGAACUUGUCCGCUCUUAUGAUCUUGUUGGUCGUCCCUGUUGCAUUGCUUCCUAAGGCUACCUUCGCCAAGGUAGGAAACCCUGAUUGCGGAAAGGGAAUAAGAUCUGAUUGUGGGUCUGGAUUAUUUCAAUUCAUUUUCCUUGCCGACACCUUUACACCCACCAACGAAUGCUGUCAUGAGCUCUUGAAAGCGGGGAAGAACUGCCACAACCAAUUUGUGGAGUUGAGCAUCUCGAGCCACAAGCCGAUUAAGGGGACAAAAUCUGAUGUCUAUAGGAGGAGCAAUGAGAAAUGGAACAAUUGCGUUGUGGCUCUCAGUCCCGUAUCCCCUCCCAAGCCGGCUCAUUGAGAGCUAUUCCCAUUUUAUAGUACAAUAAACGCGUAAUAUAAAAAGAAAGAAAGAAUUAUAAUUUUUGUAUUGAAUUCUCCUCAAAUUUUUUAUUUUAUUUUUGGUGCCACUUAAGCCUCAUGGUUAACUAUCACGGAAGCACAAUUGUGGAUGAAUCAUUUUUCAAUGUUUAAUGUGCUUAUUAAACUUGUAAUUUUUUAAAAUGACCUGCAAAAUAAAAUCAACCCCUAAAGUUGUUACUAGCUUUCGAGUCUACAAACAUAGUCCCAUACAAAACUAUAAAGAAACUAUCACUUUAUUUCUUAUGCUUUUAACAAUACCUUUUGAAACAAAUACCUAAGCGAUAAAAAGAUUAAUAGAUGGUUUAAUAAUCAUACAUUCAUCUCUAAUAAUCACAUGAAUACGUAGUUAAAGCUAGUCGAUCUAGCAUACUAUUAUAUAAAGUAAUGUAAAGAGGACUUCUUAGUUUAAAGGUUUUCUGACAAAUUAAAUCCACAAUAGUUGUUUUAUAUAACACUCUAUCAAUGGAUAAAUGUAUAAAUUAAUAAUCUUAUAUAAAUCUUACUUUGAAUCUUUUUAAUCUUGUAAGCAAUCAUAAAAAUAAAAAAUUCAAAUCUUGAAAUAUAUUUCUCUAUUUAUAUAUGUACGUAUCAAAUUGCUCCAUUAGUAAUUUCUUUCUUUCCAUUAAUUGAUAAUUCAAAUAGCCUAUGUUGGACGAUUUAGCAAAACCUUCAAAUGUUAACUAUAUGUUCAUUCAAGAAUGCGCGUACACUUUUGCUACUCAUAUACUAUGUAAACUUGACUUUUGAACAUUUAAUGAGGUUUUGUUGGUACCAAGAAUUUAGAAAUAUGUAUGGCCCAACAUCUUAUGUAAAAUGAGUUCUUAAUAAGUUUGACCCUGUUAUUAUGCAAGAGUAGGUUUAAUUUAAACAACCCAAACAUAAUGUAUGUUGCUUGGCGCGGAAGAUGACGAUGAAGAUUAUUAUUAUCAGCUUGGCCCCUCUUCAUUUAACGAAACCUAUUAAUUAUCACAAGUUUUAGUAAUUUUUAAUAAAGAGAAAAUAGUCCCACCCCAAUAACUAGUCCAAAGGUUAAAUGAUCAAUUAAUGAGUUCAGUAAAUCUGGAAAAGCAAAACCCAAAUCUUGUUAAAGGAUAAUUACCUAAUAAAAAAUUCGACCAAAAAAAUUUAGCUUUUAAAUAAUCUCAACUAAUCUAGAAAACCAAAGCCAAUUUUGGUUUAUAGAUAUAAAGGAAAAACAAGACUGGUAAGAAAUUUGUACAUAUAAACUUGGCUCCUUUUCAUUAAUUAAUGAGACCUAUUGAUUAUUUAACUUCUUUUUCCACAAGUUGUUGAAAAAUAAGUUAAUGAAGAAAAAAAUCACACUAAAAUAUCUCAGCAAUUAAUUAGGUAAUAAGUUUGCUAAAUAUAACAAACCAAAACCAAAUUAUUUGAUCAAUGGUUUAAUUUAUCUAUUGUUGAUACUUAAAUUUUGGCUUCAAGUGUAAUCAUUUGCAUAAAAAUUAGGUCUUAUUUCAUGAAAAACCCUUAAUGAGUACACUUGUGUCAACCUAAACAGGUACACUUGUGAUUGUUCAUGAUAUUAAUACAAUUUCAUAGAAACUAAUUGAGAGUAAAUUUAUCACAAAUGUAUCAGGUUCGGAUUUUUUGUAGUCAAAAAAUUAGUUUGGGAAAAUUUGUCAUAGGAAUACUAGUUUGGAAUUAUGGCGGUUAAAAAUUUAGUUUGAGAUAAAUUUGUCAUAGAUGUACUUGUUUGAUAAUUUUUGUGGCGUUAAUCCUAAAAAUUGGGGAUGGAUCCUAACCCGAAAUAAGAGGUAUUAUUAACAUAACGUGCAUUUGCAUUAUAGAUUUUUGAAUUUCUAAGAUUAAUUAUGCAUGAUGUGAAAUGAGGAUACAUGAGCAGAUUUGAAGAGGGAAAAUCAAGAAAGAGAUCGUGGCCAGCCAGGAGGAGAUUUGACGAUAUAUUUGACUGGAAAUCAUGACAAGAGAGGGUGAAAAUUCUAGGAUGUUGAAGGAAAUUUUUGCAAAAUAAAAGGGGGACAUCUUCUUCUUAGGGGAUGAUCAUGGCGUCUUGAAUUAGUUUGUGAAUUUGUUUGGUAAUCAUUUCGUUCCUAAAAAUAAUUAUUGUUUAAAAAAUUUUCUGUUAGUUUUUUUUUUUUUUUGCUUUAGUUCCUUGGACAAGUUUUUGAGGAUCCAUUUUAUUUCCGAAAUAGGAAAAGAACAUGAAUGCAAUUGCUACAACUCGCAAAUUUUUUUGUGACAUAAAAUUUUCUUUUAAUUUUUGAAUAAUUUUAUGAGCUUAUUUUUGUUGUUUUUUUUCCUUCUCUUCUUCUUCCUACUCUAGUCGUUAGCGGGCCUCCGCGAUAGCUGGCAAUCGGCUAGACGAGAGUUGGCAACCUCACCAGCCUUGAGGGAGCCUUGCCUAGCCAUCAGUGAGACCUGACCUCAUCUGGGCAACGUUGAGCCCUGCCCAGCCAAGGCCAGGUUGACCUCACCCAACCAGGACCAAAAGACCUCGUCGUGGGCCAUUGCCAAGCCUAGCAACCAACUGAAGGAGGAAGAGGAAGAAAAGAAAAGAGGGAGAAAGAAGAGAAAAUGACUUGAUUCUAGAAUUUUCCUCGGGAAUAGUGAAAUAACUUUUUUUCUACUUUUUUAUUCUAGUUUUAUUUUUGGGAACAUUGUUCCCUAUUGACAUUAGACCUAUUAAAUGGAUGGGUCAAGUAGGGUUUGGGUCAAGUCACAAAUGGUCCGACCCAAAUCAACGCAUUUAACCUGUUUAUGACCCAUUUAUCGUAGUGUAAAUCUUUUUACCCAUACCUGACCUGACCCAUUUAACUAAACAUAUGAAAGCUUAUUUCUUAUGAUUUUUUUUUUUAUAAAUGGUAUUGCUAAAAUACUUUUAUGCAAUUCAAAUUUAAUGGACAAUUUAUAAUUUUUUUAAAUUGACAUUUUAAAAAUCAAAUUUUUAAUUAAUUUUAAAAUAGAUUUUAAAAUUAUUUUUAUUUUUAAAAAAUUAAAAUUUUUAAUUAUUUGUAUUUUUUAAUAAUAUAAUUUUCCUUUUUCUCUUUUCUCUUUUCUCUUUCUUCUUCUUUAGCUGGUUGCCGGCCAUGACCACGGUCAACAACCUGCCAAAGGCGAGCCUCCAGCUCGCCCGAUCGUCGAGGCUUGAGCCUCGUUAGACGUCACCAAGGUUCGAGCCACACCGAUGUCAGGUGAGGUCGAGCCUUGCGGACAUUUGGCAAGGCCUUUGCUUCGCAAGAUUCGGCCAACUCGAGCCUUGACGACAUUUGGCGAGGCCUCUACCUCGCCAGAUGCAACUAGCUCAAGCUCGCCCAAUGCCAGUGAGCUUGAGUCUCACCUGGUUGGUAACCAACCAUCGUCGUGCCAGCCACUGGCUAAAGAAAAAGAAAGGAAAAAAAAAGGAAAGAAAAAAGAAAAGGAAAAAAAAGGACAGAAAAUUGAAAUAUAAAAAAUAAUUAUAAUUUCGAUUUUUAUAAAAGAUAUUUUUAUAAAGUUCAAGAGGGAAGAGAAAUAUUUUGAGGCUUUAGUUGAAAAUGGGUUCUAAGUCAAAUCAAUUUAACAGCCAUUUAUCUUAAAUCUUCAAUUUUUAAACCCAUUUAAUUGGUUUCUUUAAAAAAUAAGUGACCCAUACAUUACCCAUUUAUGAUGUAAAUGGAUCAUAUAUAUGGGUCGAAGAUCAAAUAGGGAGGCCUUGAACUUAGUUAUAUUUUUGGAUCAAGUAUUGGUCAAGCCCUCUGAUCUCAUAUUAUUAAAUAAUAUCUCAAGUUUGAGCGCGUGUGCUAAACCGGACUUGAAUUGAAUUAUUAAUCGGAGCCAUUUUUAGUGUUGAAGAAUCUUUAUUGUGGCAUUACUUAUUAAUCCUAAGAAGUCGUGUAGCGGACGACUGCUCAGAACACACAAAAGAAAGCAAAUGGGACCCAGGAUAAUUAGAGUAAAAAAAAAAAAGUACAAAGAAGAAUUUUGUGUUUUUGAGUUAUUUUCCCUAGUUGCACAUCUCAUGAAAAAGCCGCCAAAGGUUUUUUUUUUUUUUUUGAUCUAAUACGGUAGUAUAUUGCUAACGGAAAAGGCGGCUUGCUCAAAACAAAGUUGCACAGAGAAAUAGGGUCGCAUAGUGACGUCCAAAAGGGCAUGUUUAUUUUUACUAUAAAUAGUGUCUGAUUCUACCAAUUUAGGCUCGUAAUGCCUAAUUGGAAGCCGAUAUGGGUCAGGAAAAUUCUCAAGAUGCAUUCAAUAAAUAUUAACACAUCUCUACUUGCUAAUUGCACAAUCAAAUUACCUAACAUGCAUCACAAUUAUCUAAUAAUCACUAAUCUACUCUAAUCUAAUCACCUAAUUGCACUUAAUUAAAUCUAAUCAAUCCCUAAGCAUAAUUAGCAAAUUAAUAAGGCAUUAGUGAGCAAAACUCACUUGGCAAAGCGAAGACCGGAACACCGCAAUGACGACGUGAUGGCGGCCAAAAUAUAAACUUUCGGCAGCAUCGGCAGAUACUCAGGCCAGGCCUACAAGCCUCGCAAGCCCACAGAAAAUCACUAGGCUUGGACUUGGGCUUGGGCUGCUUUGUAGGCUUCAAAGAGUUGGGCCGAACAGCUGCUGUGGAAAUGAGCUUCACUGGAUUUGAUGGGUUGAAGAAAGGACCAGACUGGGCUGUUCAAGAAUAACAUGGGCUGCUGAACCGGGCCCAAAACUAGGCUGAACCAAGGCUGAAAACAGGCCCAGCUGUUGGGCCAAAAUUGCUGGAUUCCGUGGGCUGAAAUUGUUGGCUCGUAGACUAGAAUUGCUGGGCUUCACUUGCCGAAAAUGGGCUGAGCUGAUGGAGGUGGGCUCAAACUUGUUGGGCCGCUGAAACACCGAACUAGCUUACUGCGACAGAGACGUGAAGCUCGCUGGAUUUCUGUUUGCUUCAGUUGACGGUGAUGCUGCUCCGCUUGGUGGAUCGUUGGACGUGGCUGAUAAAUCCGGUGGACGUUGAGGAUGCUGCAGUGUUGACCAAUGGAUGGAGAUCCCAGUGGACUUGCUUCAGUGAGUGAAGCUGAAGGAGAUGGUGAAGACGCGUGGAUUGGUGAAGCAGAAGGAAAUCAGUUGCUGGCGUCUUCAAUUGAGGGUUUCGUCAAGGGGGUUUUGACCGAGAGUGGAGAUGGCUGACGGCGGCUUCGCGGCCGAGACAUGUUGACAGAGUGGGAUAUGAGGACGAGCUGCAAAGAAGAAGCAGCUUCGGUGCUGCUACUACUGGUGUCUUCGAUGGAGAAUGGACGGAGAACAAGAGCUGCGGGGAAAUUGAAGAAGGAGAGAGAGAUCGUGGGGUGCUGAGGUCUUCCACCGGAUGAAGGAAAAAGUAGAAAUUAAAAGAAAUGGGCUGGGGGCAUCAGUACGUGAAGAUAAGAG